rnacentral:rRNA from 1 species
GACGAACCGUGCGAACGUUGUUCGGAAUCACUGGGCUUAAAGGGCGCGUAGGCGGAUCAUCAAGUCCGGGGUGAAAUCUUUCGGCUUAACCGGAAAAGUGCCUUGGAUACUGGUGGUCUCGAGUGAGGUAGGGGCAUGUGGAACUUCUGGUGGAGCGGUGAAAUGCGUUGAUAUCAGAAGGAACUCCGGUGGCGAAAGCGACGUGCUGGACCUCUUCUGACGCUGAGGCGCGAAAGCUAGGGGAGCAAACGGG